rnacentral:tRNA from 2 species
GGGCCGGUAGCUUAGUUGGUAGAGCACCUGGCUGGCAGUCAGGGGGUCGUGGGUUCGAAUCCCAUCCGGUCCACCU